rnacentral:rRNA from 1 species
ACGGGUGAGUAACACGUAUCCAACCUGCCGUCUACUCUUGGACAGCCUUCUGAAAGGAAGAUUAAUACAAGAUGGCAUCAUGAGUCCGCAUGUUCACAUGAUUAAAGGUAUUCCGGUAGACGAUGGGGAUGCGUUCCAUUAGAUAGUAGGCGGGGUAACGGCCCACCCAGUCUUCGAUGGAUAGGGGUUCUGAGAGGAAGGUCCCCCACAUUGGAACUGAGACACGGUCCAA